rnacentral:lncRNA from 1 species
AUGGCCCCAGAGCUGCUGACUGUCAUUGUGGCGUCAGUGUCCUGUGUAGCUUUUUGUUUAGUGAUACUGAUGCUGGUGGUGGUCUUCUACAGAAAAGAUCCUCUGUGCUGCAGAUUCAGACCCCACAGGACAGAUCACUAUACAGAUGAUCCUCCCCAUUACCACAGCCGGCACUCUUUGAUUGGCAUCGGCCGUAAUGAGCACAGGGUGGCCAUGAACCAGGGAGCUGUUGGACUACAGCAUCCUGGAAGGCUGUUUAUAAUAGGGAAGCCAAAUGACUACCACCUGAAUGAGGCUCUGCCGAGGCUGCCUUCCUAUGAGAGCGUCCGCAAGAAAGACCGGCAGAGACAGAUCCACAGCAUGAUCUCCCAGCGCUUCGGCCUUAGUGGCUGCCAGGAGGAGCCACCACCAACGUAUGAGGAAACCCUUCGCCAGUCCUAUGAAGUUUCACCUGUACAUCUGCACACUCUGGAUGUUCACCUGUCAAUCCACACCCAAGAUGACUCUUCAUACGUCAGUGAAGACACAACCAACCCCCAUCAACCGUCCACAGCACUCCAGGGGCCGUCUUCCUCCUACUGCCCAGCACAGAGCAAUGUGUUUCUGUCUAUCUGAUGGUCCUAGAUUUCGCUGCCAAGCCACAGCAUGAGGAAAAGGACUACUGUUGUUAGUGCCAAGAGACUGACGUCAACAGGGACAAGAAGAGAGUUUUUGGGAAGGGAAUGCUUGUGCUUUGAGGCAGAGCUGUUGAUAGGCGAUUCUGCUUGAAGAUAUUGUGAUAAUGAGUGUGACUCAAGCUGAGAAUUAUAUAUCUUUGCAUUGUCCAUGCAAAUACUGGAAGGUUUUACUUUUUAUUUUUUUUAAAUGGUCUAAUGGAAGGUUGGAUUUAAAGGUUUGAAAAAUAUGAUUCCUUUGAUACUGAUCAAGAUAUUUUUGUACUGAAGUCUUUUAUUCAAUUUCAAUCAACAUUUGCACCAAUCUGUUAAGUAGAUGUCAAGAUAUUUCAGUGGAUAUACAAAAGCUUUGACCUGCCGAUUGCACUAGACAAUAAGUCCAUUCAUUCCAUUAGUUGUACUGAGUGGACAAAAAGGACCUGCAUCCAGAAAGAUUCAAUGGUAUUGAAAUGUAUCCAGAUCAGUGUAUCAUAUCAUAUCAUAUUAAAAUAAAAAUAAAAACUGAAAUAAUCUUUUGGAUAUGGACAGCAUCUGUCUAUAUCUAAACAUAGUACCGUAUUUCUGUGCAUUUAUUCCAUAACUCAGCCUCUGGGAACCAUCAAAGUUUGAACAAACUUUCAAUGCAAACUAUCCAGUAGUAGUCUGGACCAAAGUGGUCAACCAACUGACUCUUAGACAGACAGACUGACAUUUUUAUCAAUAGAGACUAACUUGCAGAUUGCAACCAACUAAAUACCACUGGAUUUCCACACGUGUAGGAAAAACUACGGUGGCAGUAAAACUCGAAAAAAACACAAAAAGCCCCAACCAGAGUCAGUGCUUGGUUUAUUGUAGAAACACGGGGCACCCUGUAGAAGAGGACCCGCUCCCUCUUCAGAUAACAACUGCUCAUUCUAAGACAACAAAAACGCAAUGAUGCUUACAUUAAGGUGAUUAUACACUAAUGAAGACAUACCUAUGAAUAUUAUAUUCCAUUUCUUCCUUUAAGGUCAGUGUUGUCUUUUGUACGGACUUUUUACACAAAUUUCCAGACAGCAAAUGUAAAAUUGUUAUCUUUAUUGGUUAACUAAAAAACACUAAGUACUAAUACUAUGUUUCACUCUCAAAGAGGUCUCUUAGGUAAGACCAGGCAUUGCUUAAACAGUAACUCUGUUUGGCCUGUACUCAUCACUAAUGACUGUUAGUUUGAGUUUGAGAGGUAAAGUACGACUGUGCAAGGUUACUCUUUAACCCAGAUCAAACACUAACCACAGAAAACACAAACCCACCUCAACCAGGAAGUAUCUGGGAGGACUAGAUUGCACGUACUUUCUGUUGUGCAUCCACUGAGGAUGACCUGCCCUGAUACUGGCCUGAACCAAGAAUGCGGCUCUCAAACAAUGGCCAUUGGCUAUUCAGUAACUUCACGACUCAUUUGUUCUUUGGAAAAACACGCACGAAGUAGCAGAUAUCAAAGAAUCUAUAUGCUUACACUUAUUUAUAGAAAUACUCCUCAGUAGUUUCUCCCUGACACAUCAUCCAAUCAGCCAGCGGAAUGCACGUUGACCCAUAAACAGCGAUUUACCCCCCGCCAUCUAGGAGUUAAAGCGCCAUGUCUGCAAACUCCUCACAUCCAUCAUUGGUUCUGCUUCGUGACAGCGUUUCCACUCCCAUACAGUGUACCAGGCGUUACCCACACUCCCUCAGCAUACCACAAGCCUCUGAAAUACAACUGUUCCUGCUGAAAGCUCUCUCAAAGAAAUGCUGACAAAAUAUCUGGCUGAUAAGCUCGUACCAUUCACAACACAUUUUAUACAGGGAAAGUUCAUUAGAAGAACAUAGGCUGAUAAAGGGAGACUGAUAAUCACCCCAGUCACUGAGUCAUCAUAAACCUUAUUUUUCUUACUAUUACUUAUUUUUUCUGUAAAUUCAGUCAUUAUCAAUGUGCAUUAUGGACUGCACACUGGGAUAAAAUCAAGCUGAGGAGCUCAUGCAUUACUCCAGCAGUGACUGUUCAACAUCUUGUGGUCAGUAUUGGUAUUGCAUCUUUCCAACAAUAUGAAGCACUUGAAAACUUGCUGUCAAAUCUUAAUUAAGGUUAAUUAUAAAGCACAUUUGAACACAGCUUAAACUGACCAAAGUGCUGUACAAAGUCCAUUAACAUAUACAGUAAAAAGGUAACAAACAACAAUAAAUGACAAGGUCAUAGAAAUGACAACCGACUAACUGAUUAAAAGAUUAGUAGGUCAAAAAGGCCAAAGAAUAGAAAUGUGUUUUAAAACAAAGAGAGAGAGAGAGACAGUUUAAUAUCUAACAGCAACUGGUUCCACAGUUGUAGAGCAGCAACUGCAAAGAAUCCCCUUUUAGUUUUAGAGCUAAAAAGCCGAUCAGACUGAUAUCUCGUACCGCCACCACAAAAGCUACAGACCCCCACCGACGGCCCAACAUUGGCCCGACCAUCGGCCUGGUGUGUCAGGGCCUUUGGUCAGGGUUGGGAGGGUUAAUGUAAUGUAAAUGCUAACCGGUUCAAAUUAUUAAAUACCUUUUGAAAGAUUUGUCAGUAACCUAGUCCAAGUAAUAUUAAGGUUUACUUUCUGUUACUUUUGGAUUACCUCAACACUAAAUAUGUGAAUAAAAACAAGAGAAAACAAUAAUAACUAUUGAUGCAAGUGUAUUCUAUAAGACAACAGAACAAUGUAACUUUAGAAAAGAAAAAAUGGAAAAUGGAAAGAUCUGAAUCAAUAAUGCGUCCUCUGCUCCUCUAUGUUUAAAGAAAAACUCAAGUAUUUUAAAAUUGUAAUCUGCUAAAUAAUCCCUAUUUUUACUAAAUGUAACAGUACUCUCAUUACAAGUAUUUUCUGUAACUCUGUUACAUGUGGGACAUUCAGAAGAGAUCAUGUCAGAUCUCAGAGAGCUAGGAGCUGAGUGCCACUGAGUAAGGGCUGUGAUACAGGAUGGGGCCUGACCAUUAAGAGCCUUGAAGGUAAUCAGAGGUCUAAAAUGAACAGGGAACCAAUGAAAAGAGGCUAGGCCAUUUACCAUUUACUUAAUGAAAAGCGGGGAAGGCCCAAGUAAAGGGAAUUUCUCUUUUCUGUAACAUUAAAUGUUUGUGAUCAAAAUGAGCAACAAUCAAAAUCAAUAAUGUUUAAACACUAAAAAAACCUGCUUUAAAAGGACUGUGGAGAUGUGGUUUGCUCAUACUUAGCUCAUAAUGGAAGUGAAAAGUUGAGAAGAAUGGAACAGCCUGAUGUUGAAUCUGAGCGUCCCCUCUGUCCAUCUGCAUGCACCGAAGACUUCACUGCUGUUUUUUGUAGGACAGUGACGUUUGCAAUUAUGACUCCAACCCUGAUGCAUAUAGUGUAAGGGUAAAAUCAAGGGAGCACAUAAUGCAGUAGUGGUUGUAUGACAUCUAGUGUUUACUUUCUGGUACUGCACUGUUCUAAUACUAAGUUUAAUAACAUAAGUUUGUUUCAAAU